rnacentral:rRNA from 1 species
CUCGGUAAAUUCCCCCUUAAAAUUCGGUUGGGUUCAACCGAACGGGCCGGCGGGGGAAUAUUGCCGAGCUAGGGGGCGGGAGAGGUUCGGGGGGUACUUCCCGGGGGUAGGGGUAAAAUCCUCUGAUCCCGGGAAGACCCACCCGGUGGCGAAGGCGCCCGGCCAGAACGCGCCCGACGGUGAGGGGCGAAAGUGGGGGAGCGAACCGGAUUAGAUACCCGGGUAGUCCCAGCUGUAAACGAUGCGGGCUAGGUGCUGGAGGGGCUACGGGCUCCUCCAGUGCCGCAGGGAAGCCGUUAAGCCCGCCGCCUGGGGAGUACGGCCGCAAGGCUGAAGCUUAAAGGAAUUGGCGGGGGGGCACACAAGGGGUGAAGCCUGCGGUUCAAUUGGAGUCAACGCCCGGAACCUUACCAGGGGUGACAGCAGGAUGAAGGUCAGGCUAAAGACCUUACCUGACGCGCUGAGAGGAGGUGCAUGGCCGUCGCCGGCUCGUGCCGUGAGGUGUCCUGUUAAGUCAGGAAACGAGCGAGACCCUCGCCGCCAGUUGCUAUUCCGUCCCCUCAAGGGACGGAAGGCUAACUGGCGGGACUGCCGCCGAAAAGGCGGAGGAAGGAGAGGGCUACGGCAGGUCAGUAUGCCCCGAAACCCCUGGGCCACACGCGGGCUGCUAUGGUGGGGACAAUGGGAGCCGAACCCGAAAGGGGGAGGUAAUCCCCAAACCCCACCCCAGUUAUGAUUGAGGGCUGCAACUCGCCCUCAUGAAUCUGGAAUCCCUAGUAACCGCGCGUCACCAUCGCGCGGUGAAUACGUCCCUGCCUCUU